GCCGGGCGCGGUGGCUCGUGCCUGUAGUCCCAGCUACUCGGGAGGCUGAGGUGGGAGGAUCGCUUGAGCCCAGGAGUUCUGGGCUGCAGUGCGCUAUGCCGAUCGGGUGUCCUUACUAAGUUCGGCAUCUAUAGGGUGACCUCCCAGGAGCGGGGAACCACCAGGUUGCCUAAGGAGGGGUGAACCAGCCCAGGUCGGAAACGGAGCAGGUCAAAACUCCCGUGCUAAUCAGUAGUGGGAUCGCGCCUGUGAAUAGCCACUGCACUCCAGCCUGGGCAACAUAACGAGACCCUGUCUCU
ensembl:misc_RNA Metazoa_SRP Metazoan signal recognition particle RNA